rnacentral:misc_RNA from 1 species
UCUCCGUUGGUGAACCAGCGGAGGGAUCAUUACCGAGUGCAAACUCAUAACCCUUUGUGGACCUAUAUCUGUUGCUUCGGCGGCUCGCUCUCGGGCGAGCCCGCCGGUAAUAUCAGUAUCUCUGUUUGAACCCGACGAUACUUCUGAGUGUUCUUAGCGAACAGUUAAAACUUUUAACAACGGAUCUCUUGGCUCUA